UACGGGGGGGGCAAGCGUUGUUCGGAAUUACUGGGCGUAAAGGGCUCGUAGGCGGCCAACUAAGUCAUACGUGAAAUCCCUCGGCUUAACCGGGGAACUGCGUCUGAUACUGGAUGGCUUGAGUUCGGGAGAGGGAUGCGGAAUUCCAGGUGUAGCGGUGAAAUGUGUAGAUAUCUGGAGGAACACCGGUGGCGAAGGCGGCAUCCUGGACCGAUACUGACGCUCAGGCGCGAAAGCGUGGGGAGCGAUCCGG
rnacentral:rRNA from 1 species